GUUUUACAGUCGAAAUGGUUUUCUGAAAAAAUCAUUACGUAUUCAAUUAGUCAAUGCAACGACUUCUGAAUUAGUGCGUAUGUAUGGAAUAUCAGUUCCUGAAUUCGCCAAAAGAAAUUUGGGACAGGCUAUUAUUUCAAUAUUUCCUAAAUUGAGAAACCCGUGUGGCCCAACGGGCUACGAAGCCUUUUAUAAAAACGACAAUGGGGGGAAGGUUUUAUUAGUUAUAGGUUACGCUUUAUCGCGAAAAAUUCCAAAGAUGAAGACAUUAGGGCCGCGGUACGCAGAAGGAAGCGCAAAGCUGUUGAAAACGCGUCCGAUGAAGUGAAGGAAAAAAAAGAAGAUUGUAGAAAUACAUAUAAAAACGUAAUAACUAUCACUCCAGAAAUUUCUGAUUGUGUGGAAUUUCUGAGAAACGCUUCUCCUCAAACAGACCAAGAAGCAAUCUUGGACAGAAUGAAAAAAACGUUCACUUAUAGGCGGUCCUUGGAUGUUAAUGUUUUAUCAAUCUUUCCGAGAUUUCUGGACACUCCAUAUCUUAUUGAACACGAUUUUCGAUUACUUUUUCCUGAUAAAGAACUCAGUUUUAUUGCCAAAAUAAACAAUGAUGCAGAGAAAAUUCUAAGUAUAUAUGAUAGUGAAGUAGCCACACCUGCCACAGAAAUAUUAGGUUCGACGGAAGGUUCAA